GACGAACCGUGCGAACGUUGUUCGGAUUCACUGGGCUUAAAGGGCGCGUGGGCGGGCGGUCAAGUCGGGGGUGAAAUCUUUCCGCUUAACGGGAAGCGUGCCUCCGAUACUGAUCGCCUCGAGGGAGGUAGGGGCAUGUGGAACUUCCGGUGGAGCGGUGAAAUGCGUAGAUAUCGGAAGGAACGCCGGUGGCGAAAGCGACGUGCUGGACCUCUUCUGACGCUGAGGCGCGAAAGCUAGGGGAGCAAACGGG
rnacentral:rRNA from 1 species